rnacentral:rRNA from 1 species
UACAGAGGUCUCAAGCGUUGUUCGGAUUCAUUGGGCGUAAAGAGCUCGUAGGCGGUUUUGUUGCGUCGGCUGUGAAAUCCCGAGGCUCAACCUCGGGUCUGCAGUCGAUACGAGCAAACUAGAGUGUUGCAGGGGAGACUGGAAUUCCUGGUGUAGCGGUGAAAAUGCGCAGAUAUCAGGAGGAACACCAGUGGCGAAGGCGGUGCUCUGGGCCGGAACUGACGCUGAGGAGCGAAAGCGUGGGUAGCGAACAGG